rnacentral:lncRNA from 1 species
CCCUGUCCUUCACGUUUUGGUUCUAUUUAUAGUCUCUAGUCGUCGGAAUUUUAGGUGAUUGCGAUCUCAUGAUAUUGUUCUUCCUUUUUUGGUUGAGUCCACUUUCCUUCUGUGGGUAUACACCCCGAAUAUCUGCUGCCCUUGAUUGACUGAAUUGAAUUUCUCAAUUACAGCCUAAUAACCUCUAUUUGAUUGAGCUUGAUUGAUUCUCGGACUUGUGGGUGUAACAAUUAUGCCCACCGGAUGAAAUUCACCUUGUCCUCAAGGCGGAAGUCUGAAAACUGGGAAUGAAAAUCAUCUCUGUCCAUCCAAGUUGAUUCAUCCAAGCUGGGUCUCUUGUGGAGUCGUGGCCGUCAGUUCUCCACCCUCAGCUUCUAGAGCCUCAAAAUCGACCAAGCUGAUACUGUCUCCAUCUGCUGCUGCAAUCAAAGUCCGAAGCUCUCCGUUUGGGCACUCAUGCAAGGGCGAGUAGGGCUGAUGACAACAAAAGCAGAGGCCCUUAUUGCGAAGCUUGGUGUAUUCCUGAUUGCUGAGUCGCCUAGUGCCCCAGUGCCGAGGAGGAAGCGGAGCAGGCUGAGAUUUGUAGCCACUUCGGUCAGCCACUGGUGGCUUACGAUCUGCGGCUCGAGUUGGUGGCCCUAAGAUACUAUUGGGCUAGGUAGCAUGCAGCAUUGAGGGUGACGACCAAUUCGAGGUUGCGGAUGAGGUGGGCAACCGAUGCGGGGCCAGCGCGAAGCUAACACUCGACUUUGCUGGCGGUUGACGACUGUCGGAGCCUCCGUCGGCAAAUCGCAAUUCCGCCUCGAGGUGGCGGGCCAACUCCAUAGCCCGAUCGAGAUCUCCAAGGUCGUAGGUGCGGAGCCUCACUCGAAUAGCCUCUAUCAAUCCAUUCAAAAAAAAAUCCAGGCAAUAUUGGUCAUUUAAAUCGGGGACUUGGCUUACCAAAUCAAUGAAUGCGAAGAUGUACAUCUCGACUGUGGAGGUUUGUCGAAGUGCCGCCAGUCGCUCGAAGGGAUUACCCACGUGUCUUCCGUCAUAUUGCUAAAUAAGCUCGACGAUUAACAUUCUACAUGUCAGCUGCGGUUUUCGUUAUCGGAGCCAGCGAAAUCAGUGAAGGGCGUGGCCCUCCAUGCUUAUCAUGGCGAGGGUGACUUUCUGAUUUUCUUUUGUCUGAUUCACCUCAAAAAAUUUCUCUGCCCUUGCAAUACAGCCGAUUGGAUCCAAUCCGUCGAAGAUAGAAAUUUCAAUUUUCUGAGGUAAAGAAGUUGCAUCAGAAGAGAAAUCAGAGGAAUUAGAGGCAGUUACCUUCGAUGGUGAAGUGGGAGUAUAGACCGAGAGGGGAGAUACGGGGUCUGGUUCAUCUGCAACAAUUGUCUUGCCUUUAAUAAAGGUAGCAAGACUGGCCAUGGUGGCCUUUAAGUGUGCAAAAUGCUCAUCGAAUUUCUAUCCAUUGCCUUGCAGAUUUCAAUGUGUUGAUUCUCCAAUUUCGCCUCGAGUGCUGCGACCGUUCUCUCCAACAAUUCAACCCUGGUCUCCAUUUAGGUUCAUGGCAUGAACAAGAAAAAAAUAAAAGCCAGCAGUAUCGAAUCAAUUUGUUGAAGUAAGAAUGGGAUCUUUUAUAGAAUCAAUAAGAAACAGUACGACUAUGGUUUCAAGAAACAGAAUGACAAGAACACCAGGAGACAAUCUCCAGACCAGGCCUAAAGAUCGAACAAAGCUAUUUGGUAAAAUCUAGAUUCUCUAUCCUUCACAUUCUGAUUCUAUUUACAGUCUCCAGUCAUCAGAAUUUUAGGUGAUUACAAUCCCAUGAUAUUAUUCUUUCUUAUUUGGUUGAGUCCACUUACACCUUGAAUAUAUAGAAUCAAUAAGAAACAGUACAACUAUGGUUUCAAGAAACAGAAUGACAAGAACACCAGAGAAAAAUCUCCAGACCAAGCCUAAAGGCCGAACAAAGCUAUUUGGUAAAGUCUGGGUUUCCUGUCCUUCAUAUUCUGGUUCUAUUUAUAGUCUCCAAUCAUCAAAUUUUAGGUGAUUGCGAUCCCAUGAUAUUAUUCUUCCUUAUUUGGUUGAGUCCACUUUCCUUCUGCGGGUAUACACCUUGAAUAUCUGCUGCCCUUGAUUGACUAAAUUGAUUUUCUCAUUUGCAGCCUGAUAGCCUCUAUUUGAUUGAGCUUGAUUGAUUCCUUGACUUGUAGGUGUAACAUGUUUCUUGUGUUAUGAAGUGAAAACAUAAUAAAAGCAGGAAUUGGGGUAACAUUCUUGGUAUACUUGUUGCCAAUACUAGAAGCUAAUGCUUGAACAUAUAAAUUAUACAUCAGAGAGAUUUUUUAAAAAAAUGUCU